GACCUCUGGCCGCUUUAAUGGUUCGGCUGCGUCGCAAUUGGUGGUGUUGCCUGGUCGUCAUUGUACUGCUAGCUCCUGUUAAACUUUAUCGCGGUUCAUACGAGUGAUCGACGUGUUGGUGGGUGCCGCCGACCUCUGGGAUGCACUCUUGAAGGCGUUAAUGAUUUCACCCAUCCUGCCCAUUGGACGCAUCCUCAGCCCUCUUUGUCUUAGGUCAUAGUAGUAUUUACUUCUUUUCUUCCUCUGCCGUUAAUGCAAUUGCUGUCACUCUAUCUCAGGUAAUACCGUAAUGUGCAUGCCACCGUGAAUCGAUCUCCUGUGUUUUGCCUCACAGGGAUCUCUUUACUCUCUGUACUGAAGACACGAAAUUGCACACAGGUCAAAAGAACAAUGCAUAUGGAAUUGUUGAAAUUUUAUCACGCCCGAUUCAAUAUUGGAAAACCAUUUGCAUGCGUCUAGCAGUACAGAAAUCAGGAUACAUGGAUGAAUCUACAUGAACUGGUUUUCAUUGCUAUAGACCGUGACGUAUCCCACUUAACACACAACUCACUACUUAACACUUGAUUUUGUUUAUCCUUACACCGUUACAUGGAUGUGGAGUUAGCCCAGUUUAAUGGCUGUUUUAUUCAUGAGAUUUCAAGUUCUGGAAAACAUAAUAUAUGCUCUGCUUUUCCAGGUUCAUUAUUGUCCAGCUUCUUUGAUAGCCUGUCUUUCGUACGAUCAUUAUAAUGCACAUUUACAAGUAUCUAAUUGUGUUCCCAUAUCCUAAACAUUCUGAACCAAGCUACUCUUAUUUGUUUCACGCUUUAAACAAUAUGAAAAAAAAUCUUCAAUGUUAUUAUGAUAAAAUGCCAAUGAGGUACAGCUGCGCACAGGAAAAAGCCGAUAGUGGCGUCCCAUGUCGUCCCCUGCUGGCAACCUGGGAACGAACCUUAGCCGUCGGGCAACCGCUCCACCUCCACCCUUUCAGCCUUGCCGCUUCCUGGCAAAUCCCGUGGGGUGUUGGUGGGCUCUUCCUUUUCCACUCACGAGGUGUGCUGGGGUGUUGCGUCUUUGUUGCUAUUUGUCUUUAUAUUAUGCUCUUCUAAAAUGAUUAUGGUGAAUCAUCUUUAUAUUAUGCACUGAAGCUUCUUACUAUAAGAAAAAUACUUUUAACAUUUACACCUUUGAUAUUGUAGUCUUGCCUGCCAUGUUAAUUGCAGUGCUUAAUCUUUUUUGCUUGCGGAUGCUCAUUAGGCGGAGGGGCUAAGCAAGAAGUUGCAUUGGUAAUGUUUUCCUCUUCCUUCUACUUUGUUCAGUUCAGCAACACCUUUUAUGGUUGUUUAAUAAUAUGCCAUGCUGGUGUUGGUAGACAUAUGUAACUAGACUGCAGUUGAUAUAUAUCUCUUGACAUCAAAUGCAGUUUCCUAAACACCUCCCCUCCCUGCCACUUUAUAUACAUGAUGAUGUAAAACCAUUCGAAUGCCAUUCAAUUACAUAGCAGAUUUCCCAUUCUUGGACAUCCUUCGGGAAGGAGAGACUUACCUGAAAAGGAAAACCAUAAUAAACAUGGAAAAUAAAACAAGAACAAACUAUUAGAGGCCUGUUGCAUGUUGGUGUCAUGGCCACUCUGAUUAUAUAUCAAUUAUUUGCCAUCUUGAGUGCUCCUUCUUUAUAUUUAACCUUUAUAAAUUCUUGCACCUUCAUCUAUAUAACAACCUAUUUAUAUUUUAUUUUAAUCAUACAUAGCUAGCUUACACCAUUUCAUGACUGCAACCUAUUGAGCACUAUACUGGCAAAUUUAAAAAGCAUAUAUAGGCAUUCGAGAAAAUGAAAUGCCAACUAGAUCUUGGCAAUAAAAUCACUGCUUACAAGUGUACUGCCCUGUGUGUUGCUGAUGAAGCUAUACCAGCCAUGGUGCGGAUCAAAGUGUUACCGUUGUAUCUUACAGAUUUGGCAAAAUAUCCCAGAUGGCAAGUACAUGUGUCUAUCUAGGGGCAAGACCAUAUAACUGUAGUAUUAAGUGAGUAUUUUACUCAGUACUGAUGUGGUGAGCUUUUAUACAGUAUAUAGUACCUUGAUUCCUACUGGUUUACACAAAAUGAGUACUGAUUGUUUAAAACUAACUGCAAUACCAAGAUGAUGUUUAGGUAGCUAAAUUUAGGUGUGUGCAAAUGGUGUUCAAGCUACCUACAAGAGCUGAUGCAUUUCCAGAGAAGACAAUCUAGAUAAUAGUGUUAGCAAUAGUGGAGAUAAGAACAACUAGAUAAUUCAUGCCCUGUGUAAUGCAGAUCCAUCCAGUAUGUAAUCCAGUAGGUAUGUGCAACGGCACCAUUCAAUCCAGCAGGAAUAUCUAACUCCUGUCAAAAUGUGUACCUGCUUCGUCCCGCUCCGUCCAAUGUAUCCACGUGGUUUUGCUAAACAUUAUCAACCAUGUAAACCAAUGUAAAUAACUGCUAGCACUGUCAACU